rnacentral:miRNA from 1 species
CUUAUCAGAGUUGGCGGUU